rnacentral:rRNA from 1 species
GAUGAACGCUAGCUACAGGCUUAACACAUGCAAGUCGAGGGGUAACAAGAGAAAAGCUUGCUUUUCUUGUUGACGACCGGCGCACGGGUGAGUAACGCGUAUCCAACCUGCCUAUAACUAGGGAAUAACCUUGCGAAAGUAAGACUAAUACCCUAUGAUUUCCUUUGAUGACAUCAGAUUAGGAAUAAAGAUUUAUCGGUUAUAGAUGGGGAUGCGUCUGAUUAGCUUGUUGGCGGGGUAACGGCCGACCAAGGCAACGAUCAGUAGGGGUUCUUAGAGGAAGGUCCCCCAGAUUGGAGCGGAGACUCGGUCCAAACUCCUACGGGAGGCAGCAGUGAGGGAUAUUGGUCAAUAGGCGGAAGCCUGAACCAGCCAAGUAGCGUGCGGGAUGACGGCCCUAUGGGUUGUAAACUGCUUUUAUACAGGAAUAAAGUUAGCCACGUGUGGUUAUUUGUAGGUACUGUAUGAAUAAGGACCGGCUAAUUCCGUGCCAGCCGCCGCAGUAA